rnacentral:snRNA from 14 species
GUGCUCAUUUCAGCAGUACACAGUCCCAAAUCAGAGUGAUACAAAGAUUCGCCUGGCCCUUGUGCGAAGAAGAAAUGCAAAUUUGCGGAUUAUUCCAUAUUUUC